UUAAAGUACCAUAGAGGAGGAGCAAGUCUGGGCNCACCACCCUUAAAGGAAUUGACGGAAAACUCCAAUUUUGGUCCCCCCACCCUUAAGGGAUUUCCCGGAAAGCUUCUCCCCCGUUUCUUUCCUUCUGGAGAACCUGUACUCCUUGUGGGUGCACGCUAACCAGGACUUUUACUUUGAAAAAAUUAGAGUGUCAAAUCAGGCCAAAGCUCGAAUAUAUUAUCAUGGAAUAAUGGAAUAGGACGUUUGGUUCUUUUUUGUUGGUUUCUAGGACCAUCGAAGUGAUUAAUAGGGACGGUCGGGGGCGUCAGUAUUCAAUUGUCAGGAGGUGAAAUUCUUGGAUUUAUUUGAAGACCAACUACUGCGAAAGCAUUUGCCAUGGACGUUUUCAUUAUUCAAGAACGAAAAUUGGUGUGAUCGUACAUGAUCAUAUACCGUCGUAUUCUCUACCAUAGAGUAUGCCGACGAGGGACCGGGGUGCGUUUUUCUUAUUACCCACUCCGCUCCUUAGGAGAAGGACAGGACUUUGGGGUUCGGGGGGAGUAUGGUCGGAAGCCUCAAACUUAAUAGAAUUGACGAAAGAGGAACCNGCCGCAGUGUCGUACAUGAGAGAGUAUGCUUUGUUCGUUGUAAUCUUUAAUGCUGACGCUCUGGAAAGCGUGUGAAAAUAUCUCUCUACAUAUCCUUUGCUUAUUUUUGGGUUUACGAUUUUAUUGUCGUUUAUGUUUUCGUAGUACACUUGAUCUUCUCUGGCUUUCUCUUCGUGGUCUAUUGAACUAUUCUGACGGUAUUUUACUUUCUUGUUGAGUGGGGUGUCGCUUUCC
rnacentral:rRNA from 1 species